AUUGAACGCUGGCGGCAGGCCUAACACAUGCAAGUCGAGCGGAUGAAGGGAGCUUGCUCCUGGAUUCAGCGGCGGACGGGUGAGUAAUGCCUAGGAAUCUGCCUGGUAGUGGGGGAUAACGUCCGGAAACGGGCGCUAAUACCGCAUACGUCCUGAGGGAGAAAGUGGGGGAUCUUCGGACCUCACGCUAUCAGAUGAGCCUAGGUCGGAUUAGCUAGUUGGUGGGGUAAAGGCCUACAAAGGCGACGAUCCGUAACUGGUCUGAGAGGAUGAUCAGUCACACUGGAACUGAGACGCGGUCCAGACUCCUACGGGAGGCAGCAGUGGGGAAUAUUGGACAAUGGGCGAGAGCCUGAUCCAGCCAUGCCGCGUGUGUGAAGAAGGUCUUCGGAUUGUAAAGCACUUUAAGUUGGGAGGAAGGGCAGUAAGUUAAUACCUUGCUGUUUUGACGUUACCAACAGAAUAAGCACCGGCUAACUUCGUG
rnacentral:rRNA from 1 species